rnacentral:lncRNA from 1 species
AGGGGAGGGCGCGGAAGCCGAGGUGGGGGGCGCUUCCCGCCCCACCCCGCCUCCAGAACAACGGGUUCCCGCUGCUGCCCCCUGCCGCUCGCCGCGCCCUCGACGGAGGCGUCGCGGCCGCCGCUUCCGUGGGAACCGGACCCGGGGCGCGCUAGCACCGGCCGGUUUCCCGUCAGGGGAACUCGCAGCCACUUUUCGAGAAGCCGGUUGGAGCAACUUGGGCCCAGGCAGCCAGAGUUGGCCACAUGUCACUUAAGCCUGGCGACCUCUCUCGGACUUUUUAAAAAAAACAACGGGGAGUGGGGCUUGGGCGAAGCGUGGCGCGGCUCGCACUCCGGAAACCAAAGUACUGGUUGGGGGGGUGUUGGGUUUUUUUUUUUUUUAAAGGGCCACCAACCGCUUGAACUCGGCUUUAGCAGUGGAAACCCGUUUCUCCCCCGGUGUGCACACAAAGGUCGGAGUCAGGAAAGUUUGCUCGCGGCCCUCAUGACUGCGCUUCCUUGACUUUGUGCUUUUAAAAAACCUCGUGGCCUUCUCUGAAGAGGCACGCUGCUCUCUGAAUCCGAGAGGAAGGAAAAAAAAUAGUAAUAAUUCGAAAGACCCCGGAAAAGUUCAGUGAGCCAGCCACGUUUCGACAUUUCCCAGAUUUUGCAAUAUUGAACUGGGUUCCUGCCAACUUACUGCCAAAUUAUAAAUUUCUCAAGAUGAAGGGUGUUCAACCAAAUUGCUGCCAGGCCCCGUAAGCAGGCACGAACAACACCGGCUUAAUUACACCUUAUUCUUUCUCUCGCAGCCUUAUUUAAUGCGCUGCUGGAUGAAGUCCUCAACCCGGGUGUCAGUAACUGGCCUUUUUCUGGGACUGAACAAUCACACACUUUCCAUGCCUCAGUAGUUUCAAGAAUUGUAUAACCCAUCGCCCUCUCUUUCCGUUUUCUAGUCGAUAUUGUCCGAAAAUGCAACCCAGUCAGUUCUCUUGGGAUGCUGGAGAUGAGGCCAAGACUUCGCACAAGCACAGCGAGCACUCUACCACAGACCCAUAGCCCCACCUUUUGGCACUUCUGAAGAGACUCUGGUGGAACCAAGUCAGGCAGUGAGUGGCACAGAAUUUAAUCCCAAGCACUCAGGAGGCAGAGGCAGGUAGAUCUCUGUGAGUUCCAGGCUAGCCUGGUCUAUAAAGUGAAUACCAGGAAGAGCACCCGACUGCUCUUCCGAAGGUCCGGAGUUCAAAUCCCAGCAACCACA